GCAGUCGUGGCCGAGUGUUUAAAGCGAUGGAAUAGAAAUCCAUUGGGGUCUCCCCGCACAGGUUCGAAUCCUGUCGACUGCG
rnacentral:tRNA from 1 species